UCCAGUUCACUGUAGUGGUUUGAGCACUGGGCUAUGACUCCAGAGACCAGGGUUCAAAUCCCUGUCAGCCUUGGAA